AAAAAGGGCUUGUGCUAUGUAUAGCACAAUAUUGUUCCCAGCAUUGGUAACGGUGGUGUGGAAUUGAUAUCAAGAGAUUUUGGAAGUAUAAUUUUUGUUAAUAGGAUUGCCUGUGACUGUUGUAAAAAAAAAGAAUAUGGCUGCAUAAACAAUCCAGAUAUUUCA